GGGAUGUAACUCAGGGGUUGAGCAUCUGCUUUGCAUGCAGAAGGUCACAGGUUUAAUCCCCAGCCUCACCA